rnacentral:rRNA from 1 species
UACGAAGGGGGCUAGCGUUGUUCGGAAUUAUUGGGCGUAAAGAGCUCGUAGGCGGCUUGUCACGUCGGGUGUGAAAGCCCGGGGCUUAACCCCGGGUCUGCAUUCGAUACGGGCUAGCUAGAGUGUGGUAGGGGAGAUCGGAAUUCCUGGUGUAGCGGUGAAAUGCGCAGAUAUCAGGAGGAACACCGGUGGCGAAGGCGGAUCUCUGGGCCAUUACUGACGCUGAGGAGCGAAAGCGUGGGGAGCGAACAGG